UACGGGGGGGGCAAGCGUUGUUCGGAAUUACUGGGCGUAAAGGGCUCGUAGGUGGCCAACUAAGUCGGACGUGAAAUCCCUCAGCUUAACUGGGGAACUGCGUCCGAUACUGGAUGGCUUGAGUUUGGGAGAGGGAUGCGGAAUUCCAGGUGUAGCGGUGAAAUGCGUAGAUAUCUGGAGGAAUACCGGUGGCGAAGGCGGCAUCCUGGACCGGCAUUGACGCUGAGGAGCGAAAGCCAGGGGAGCAAACGGG
rnacentral:rRNA from 1 species